GUGCCAGCCGCCGCGGUAAUACGAAGGGGGCUAGCGUUGUUCGGAAUUACUGGGCGUAAAGCGCACGUAGGCGGAUAUUUAAGUCCGGGGUGAAAUCCCGCAGCUCAACUGCGGAACUGCCUUUGAUACUGGGUAUCUUGAGUAUGGAAGAGGUGAGUGGAAUUCCGAGUGUAGAGGUGAAAUUCGUAGAUAUUCGGAGGAACACCAGUGGCGAAGGCGGCUCACUGGUCCAUUACUGACGCUGAGGUGCGAAAGCGUGGGGAGCAAACAGGAUUAGAUACCCGAGUAGUCC
rnacentral:rRNA from 1 species